AUUAACUACAACCCUCUGUUGCCUGUCACUCAGCCACUGCCUUACCCAUUCAACAAUAUUGGAAUCCAAACAAGAUUGCAGUUUAUUGAUAAGCCUUCUAUGUGCAACAGUGUCAAAAGCCUUACUGCAAUCUAGGUAAGCAAUGUCUACUGCACCACCCUGAUCUAUAAUUUUAGUUACCCAAUCGAAAAAAUCAAUAAGAUUAGUUUGGCAUGAUCUCCCU
rnacentral:lncRNA from 1 species